rnacentral:rRNA from 1 species
UAAGACGAACCGUCCAAACGUUAUUCGGAAUCACUGGGCUUAAAGGGUGCGUAGGCGGCCCGAUAAGUUGGGUGUGAAAGCCCUCGGCUCAACCGAGGAACUGCGCCCAAAACUGACGGGCUAGAGGAAGAUAUAGGUGAGCGGAACUUAGGGUGGAGCGGUGAAAUGCGUUGAGAUCCUAAGGAACACCAGUAGCGAAAGCGGCUCACUGGGUCUUUUCUGACGCUGAGUGCACGAAAGCUAGGGGAGCGAAGAGGAUUAGAUACCCUCGUAGUCCUAGCCGUAAACGAUGAGCACUGGUUUGGAGGGUCCUCCAUAGCCUUCCAGACGUAGCGAAAGUGUUAAGUGCUCCGCCUGGGGAGUAUGGUCGCAAGGCUG